AAGUAACGCGCUUAAAUACACACACGUUUCGACACAUAUGGCUGGGUCUCAAAUUGGAAGUGCGUUCAUUUUGGGUGUCAUAUGGGGAGCGUGGAGGCAUAAC
rnacentral:sRNA from 1 species